rnacentral:rRNA from 1 species
UUCUGGUUGAUCCUGCCGGAGGCUACCGCUAUUGGAGUUCGAUUAAGCCAUGCGAGUCGCGAGACUUAGAAUCUCGGCGUACCGCUCAGUAACACGUGGGUAACCUGCCCUAUGCUAGGGGAUAACCUCGGGAAACUGAGAAUAAUACCCUAUAGUUCACCACGCCUGGAACGGUGGGUGGAUGAAAGCUCCGGCGGCAUAGGAUGGGCCUGCGGCGUAUCAGGUUGUAGGGGGUGUAAUGUACCCUCUAGCCAUCUACGCGUACGGGUGUUGGGAGACGUCGCCCGGAGAUGGAUUCUGAGACACGAAUCCAGACCCUACGGGGUGCAGCAGGCGCGAAAACUUGGCAAUGCGAGAAAUCGUGACCAGGGAACUCCAAGUGCAUCGGGUAAGACCGAUGCUUUUCUUGACUCUUCAAAGGUCUUGGAAUAAGGGGUGGGUAAGGACGGUGCCAGCCGCCGCGGUAAUACCGGCGCCUCAAGUGGUAGUCGCUUUUAUUGGGCCUAAAACGUCCGUAGCCGGUUUGGUACAUUCGUGGGUAAAUCAAGGCGCUCAACGUCUUGAAUUCUGCGAGCACGGCCAGACUUGGGACCGGGUGAGGUGUGGGGUACUCUC